UAUCUAUAGAGUCUAUCUUCGCAUCUCGAUAUAUUACUUUUUGAGAUAGUUGCAUAUGAUAUGAAACCACUAUUCAAUGUGCUUUGAUUUCUAAUGAGAUUAGAGCUCCUUAGCAAGUACUAUGGCUCUAUUGUUAUUGCAGUACAGCAGUAUGGCAUCUGAUGUCAUUGUACCAAGUUUUGCGAUAAAUUUUUUAAAUUAGAAAUCUCUUCUUUUGCAGCAUCC
rnacentral:lncRNA from 1 species